rnacentral:rRNA from 1 species
GCCGGCGAGUGGCGAACGGGUGAGUAAUGCAUCGGAACGUGCCAUUGAGUGGGGGAUAACGUAGCGAAAGUUGCGCUAAUACCGCAUAUUCUGUGAGCAGGAAAGCAGGGGACCGCAAGGCCUUGCGCUCUUUGAGCGGCCGAUGUCAGAUUAGCUAGUUGGUGAGGUAAAGGCUUACCAAGGCGACGAUCUGUAGCGGGUCUGAGAGGAUGAUCCGCCACACUGGAACUGAGACACGGUCCAGACUCCUACGGGAGGCAGCAGUGGGGAAUUUUGGACAAUGGGGGCAACCCUGAUCCAGCCAUGCCGCGUGAGUGAAGAAGGCCUUCGGGUUGUAAAGCUCUUUCGGCCGGGAAGAAAUCGCAUGGGUGAAUACCCUGUGUGGAUGACGGUACCGGAACAAGAAGCACCGGCUAACUACGUGCCAGCAGCCGCGGUAAUACGUAGGGUGCGAGCGUUAAUCGGAAUUACUGGGCGUAAAGCGUGCGCAGGCGGUUUGGUAAGAUAGGCGUGAAAUCCCCCGGGCUUAACCUGGGAACUGCGCUUGUGACUGCCAGGCU